UUCCGUCUGUUGCCCACGAAG
rnacentral:miRNA from 1 species